GUUUGCUUCAUGAGCUACAGCGCAUGUGUGGAAGCCUCGGGUAUCAGAGGACCAUCACUAGUCGCGACGUCUGGUAGCAUCUCUGGCUGCUGUUGAUCUUGUUUUUGGAGUAAAACACGGUGGAAGCUGAAUUAGUGAGGAUGACUCCUGCUCCUGUCAUCUCUAAGCUCCUCACACAUCUUUACCUGCACAUGAGGAAAAUCACUCCUGUAGAAUGCAGAUGUUCAGAGGGAGAUGAUGCCACAUCUGGUCCAGCUGAUGGAAGGUCUUGAAGUUCUCUGACUGGCCUCUGACUGAAGAUGGUCGUCUCACUGGAUUUAAAGUUCAGAUGCUCAGUAACAAACUCCACCAAUGAGCCAACAGGGAAGCUUUAGGUUUAUUAAAUGUUACUAUGAAGGUUUCGCUGUUUUUCUUUGUGAAUGCAAUGUGCUCCAACUGAAACUUGAAUUAGAACUUAGAAGUAAAUCCUUCCAUCUGAAAGAAUUAGUUGCAUUAAUAACCUCAUAACAUUCUAAUUUUUAUUCCAGUCUUGGUUGGAAAUAGAAUCUCUGUAG